CUACGGGUCGCUGCAGUGAGGAAUAUUGCACAAUGGGGGGAACCCUGAUGCAGCAACGCCGCGUGGAGGAUGACGCAUUUCGGUGUGUAAACUCCUUUUAUAUGGCAAGAAAAUGACGGUAGUAUAUGAAUAAGCACCGGCUAACUCCGUGCCAGCAGCCGCGGUAAUACGGAGGGUGCAAGCGUUACUCGGAAUCACUGGGCGUAAAGGACGCGUAGGCGGGUUGGAAAGUCAGGUGUGAAAUCCUACAGCUUAACUGUAGAACUGCACUUGAAACUUCUAAUCUAGAGUAUGGGAGGGGGAGAUGGAAUUAGUGGUGUAGGGGUAAAAUCCGUAGAUAUCACUAGGAAUACCUAAAGCGAAGGCGAUCUCCUGGAACAUUACUGACGCUAAGGCGUGAAAGCGUGGGGAGCAAACAGGAUUAGAUACCCUAGUAGUC
rnacentral:rRNA from 1 species